UAAGAAGUCCCCUUCAGAGAUGCAAAUGUC
rnacentral:piRNA from 1 species